AAAAAGGGCUUCUGCCGUGAUUGGCACAGGAAGGGUGGGGAUUUCUACUCUUCUUGCGGAAUCGCCAUCAAGAGAUUUCGGAAGCACAAUUUUUAAAACAGGGGAUGGUAGUGACCGCUCGUCCUAUCGCCCCG